UACGAAGGGGGCUAGCGUUGCUCGGAAUCACUGGGCGUAAAGGGUGCGUAGGCGGGUCUUUAAGUCAGGGGUGAAAUCCUGGAGCUCAACUCCAGAACUGCCUUUGAUACUGAAGAUCUUGAGUUCGGGAGAGGCGAGUGGAACUGCGAGUGUAGAGGUGAAAUUCGUAGAUAUUCGCAAGAACACCAGUGGCGAAGGCGGCUCACUGGCCCGUAACUGACGCUGAGGCACGAAAGCGUGGGGAGCAAACAGG
rnacentral:rRNA from 1 species